GGAAGCCCUGCCCCUGCCCCCUUGGCAUCCGCUGUCCCCAUCGUGCAGCUAAGCCCGUCCUGCCUGUGGGAAGUGCCAGCGGCUGCAAUCUAGGGACUAGCACCCUGUAGGGGACAAGGGAAGUUGUGGAUGGAGCCCAGCUCCUCGCCGUCUGGGGGCCUGAGGCCCGGUCUCCGCCGUGUCCCCGGUCCCAGGACCUCUCCCUGCAGCAGAACCAGCUCACUGGCCCUCUGCGGCCUGGGCUCCUUCCGUCCCUGCCUCACGAUCCAGCCCCCCGACAGUGCCUGGAAAAGCCAACCCUUUGCUCAGUGUGCCCAGCAGCCUUCGGUGACGGUUCCUCCUCGGGCACAGGAGGUGCCUCAAAGCCCUAAUCCCGGGGGUGUGGAUAUCCCGCCCCAGGGAGGACAGCAGGGACAGGUACGUUCGAAUCCAGGGGAUUAGCGAGUCUAUAAUCAAUCAAUCAGCAAAUUCUAAUAAGGCCUGCUGGAAGCGUAGGUCUGGAGUCUUGGGGCCUUGGAAAAGCUGCCGGAGGGGUGCAUAGAGCGUUCCGGGGCCGUGGCAUCUGGCGUCCACCCCCAUCGCCGGGGCAAAGCCAGGCAGGACAAGGCAGGGAAGCCCCUGCCCGGCGGAUGUCCCCCUCCUCCCGCAGGUGAGGCUUCAGGAACAGAUGCUCAGAGGCCCCGGGGAGUCCCAGCUUUGGCCUGUGAGUGAUCUUGGUGGAAGGUUCCAGGCCCGGGAGCCGGGCCAAAGCAGGUAAGCAGCACCAGAUGUGGGAAUCCCCGCUGCAGAGCCCC
rnacentral:lncRNA from 12 species